rnacentral:lncRNA from 1 species
GCGCGUGUGGAUGUGCGAAGUGUGCGAGCAAGCGCCAGCCCACGUCACGUGCAAGGCGGACGCGGCUGCUCUCUGCGUCACGUGCGACCGAGACAUCCACUCCGCUAACCCUUUGGCUCGCCGUCACGAGCGCGUCCCCGUCACACCUUUCUACGAUUCCGUCUCCGGCACCGACGGCUCCGGCAAGCACACAGCCGUCAACUUCCUCAACGACUGUUACUUCACCGAUCUAGACGGAAAUGUUAGCCGUGAGGAGGAGGAGGAGGAGGAGGCGGCGUCGUGGCUGCUUCCGAAUCCGAAGACGACGGCACCGGCGGUACCGGGAGAUAGCCCGGAGAUGAACACGGGUCAAGGGUUCAUGUUCCCGGAUCUGGAUCUGGAUAACGGGACUGUUGAUCCGAAGCUGGAGUCUCAGGAGCCGAACAGCUCCGGCACCGACGGUGUGGUUCCGGUGGAGACUCGGAGGGUUGGAGUUCCGACGGUGAACGAGAACUGCUACGAGCUAGAUUUCACCGGAGGAUCCAAAGGCGUUAUUACGUACGGACACAACUGCAUCAGCCACAGCGUAAGCUACCUUUUGUCCGAACUUCUUACAUGUUCUCUUGUCAGUACUGAUUAGUUUAACUGAUUAUGUCGGAAAAGCAACUCAACGAACUCAAAAAGAACCAAUUGUUUAUCCAAUCUUAGAUCAUACUAUUAUUUAAUCAAAUACUCCUUUCCACUAUGAAAAAGUCUACGUUUGUUUCAAUCUUUUACAUUUUCAAUGUAUCAAUUGAUGAUAAAUUGCAAAUUUAAGAAAAUAUAAUUGUGUUUAUUAAAAGAGCUAAUUUGCUGAAUAUACUAAAAAGAGUGAGAUAUCAUAGAAUGGGGGGAAAAUGGUAAUGAUAGGGUAAGAAAAUUGGAGGGAUAUAGUGUAUGGAGUGCAAAUAUGGGAUAUUUGGUGUGUAAAGAGUACAAAUUCUCUGAUUAAAACUCUAUUGGUUAAACUUUUUUGAGAAUAAUUAAUUACAAAAAGACAAUAUAUAGAUAAUCAAAAUUUAAUAUUUUCUUAAUAUUAAUAUGACUGAAAAUUUUAAAACAUACAUAAUGUUUAGAUCUUUCAUGUUAAUUAUUAUUUUAAUUAGUACUAAUGAUUAGGUGAUCAUAUUUAGCGUUGGAAGCAAGCAACAUGUGUAAACCUAAUUUAAGUAAACCAAUAAAAUAUGAGAAAAAGACCAAAAUAGCACUAAAUCAAGUUUUUGUUCCUAAACUUGAAUUUAGAAUUCAAGGCCAAAAGUCACAAAAAUAGCACUCAAGGGGUGGGGUUUAGGGUUUAGAAUUUAGGGUUUAGAGUUUAGGUUUUAGGGUUUAGAGUUGAGAAGUGAGGUUUUGGGGAUAAGAUUUCAAAUUUUGAAAAAUAAAAAAAUUUAAAUUUUUCAAAAGAUAAAAUGCUAUUUUGGUCAUUUUAGUUUUUGAGUGCUAUUUUUGUGAUAUAAACUUAGAAAGGUGCUAUUUUGGAGAUUUGCCCGUAAAAUAUCUAAAUAAACCCUUUGUAACUACAGGUAUCAUCAUCGUCGUUGGAAGUGGGAGUGGUGCCAGAUGGCGGCUCUGUGGCCGACGUUUCGUACCCUUACGGUGCUCCUGCAACCAGUGGAACCGAUCCCGGAACUCAGCGAGCUGUUCCACUAACGUCAGCGGAGAGAGAGGCGAGAGUGAUGAGGUACAGAGAGAAGAGGAAGAACAGGAAGUUUGAGAAGACAAUAAGGUAUGCUUCGAGGAAAGCUUAUGCGGAGAUGAGGCCAAGGAUCAAGGGACGGUUUGCUAAGAGGACGGAUACGAAUGAGAGCAAUGACGUUGUUGGUCAUGGUGGUAUCUUUAGCGGGUUUGGACUUGUACCAACGUUUUAGAGAUUGCGAGAGAGAGAAUCUAAAAUGGUGUUUGGUGUUGUUUUAGUAAUAAGGUUUUAACAAACUUUUUUUUCUUAAGAGUUGUUUGUUUUUGUUGUUGAGUUCUUAGUACUUGUUAUGGAGGGAGAGAUGAGGAGAAGAGAGUGGAUGUGUUUAUAUGUAACUUGUGUUGUAUAUAUCAUGUGAUUUUGAACAAGUUUUUGCUUAUGUAUUGUUUUAUAUUUUGAGCAUUGUAGAAUUGCAAAUCUUACAUGUAUGUAGAGAUAAAACAGCAAAUGCAACAUGUAACUUUAGUACAUGUCAAUCAUAGAGGUAUGGUCUCUGAGACGCUGUGAACGGCAGUUAGCUUCUGAGUUGAGCCUGCCUAAGUCUUGGCUGCUUCUAGCUGCGGUCGGCUUUUGGUUCAGGCUUUCAUUCUCUGCCUUGCGGUCCAAGACGCUGUGUACUGCAGUAUGAUCUUGAUUGGUUUCUUUGGCUAAGAUCUUGUGGUCUGAGUCAUUGCUAACUGCUCUUUGCCAUUGAUUUGCUUCUUGAGAUGAGCUAGCAUGUGUUGAGGAUAUGUCGGAAGCUUUGAUGUUAGCAGUCUUGAUCUCCAGAAAACAAACAACUACACAUGUAAUAUUGUCUGCACUUCCUCUCUUUAUUCAACCUCUUUUUUCACCAAUGCAACAGACUAUUUGUAGUUUUGUACUGUUCGUAAUUAAACUUGAAAAAAUUACAUGAAGUUUCAUUAGUUAAAUAAAGGUAAAACCGAACAUUAACUAUUUUUUUAAUCUGCGUAUAUUUUCUUUUAAACAACAUAUUAUUUGAAACCGAGAGAAUAUUCGCGAGAAAAAGUUAAUAGCUUCAUGAGAUAUCAUAAAUCCUCAAUAACAUUGCCAUUUCCACUUCUAUAUAUAACAGCUCUGGAAUCUCCAACAAGAAUAGCUGUAGACGCCGUUGAACCAGCGUCUCUAGUGUGACUAUUUUCUGACUUGAGAAGUUCACAGUCUGUAUUAUGCAUCAGCUGGAAAAAAAAAACAAAGCCAAUAUAAUGCACAUUCUUAAAUCAACAAUGAUAAGUUUGAAACCAAAAGAACCUUGAUAGGGAAGUAAACCUAUAGCAAAUUGGUGUCAGAUAUGAACUUAGGAUGCAUCAAAAGAUUGCUGAAAAGAUGACGCUUCACAUACUCAGCUGCUCUAGCUCCACUAUGGCCCCGCAGCAACACAAUAAGAAAGAUGAUUCAGAUUUGGUCUUUCUUAAGGGCAAGCCUAACGUAUAAGUUGUUUAUAUUACCAUCAAAGACUCCAAAUAGACCAACGAUUUCUCCUACGAUACCGUCGAUCCUAGUCUCAAAACGGUCUUCCCUAUAUGAUCCUAGCUAAACUUUCCAUUCUGGCUGCAGUUAUAUAAUAUGAACAUUGUGGCUGGUCAGUUCAUAUCUAGGAGAGCUCACUGGAUAAAAAUGUAUGAAAAUUUUUGUCACCAGAAAAGGCUAAGAACCACAAUGAUGAAGAAUUGAAGAUCAUUGUAUACCUUAAUAACGCUCAAUAUCUUCACCAAUACUAAAGUCUAGUCCUACACUUUCUUCUUCCAAUGAAACAGGAGAGUAUAUUCUAAAACCAAUAAUAAAAUAAAAAUGAGCACAUGAGUUUAUUCCGCUUGUAUAAACUUUAUUAGGGGAUGUACUCAUACCUCCCACAUCUUAAAUUCAAAGUUACUUUGAGCAAUAUAUAAACGAUCAGGACCAAUCUACUUACUACUAUAAACUUGCUUGACCGAAUAUUAAUGUCAUAAAAUUCCGAGAUUUCUGGUCGAUAAAAACCAUCAUCUCGAAAAAGAUAUUAGAGAUAUAUUAUCCACAUUAAAAAUGCAAAAAACAUUAAAUAAUAUAUAAAUGGUUAGAAUCAAUCUCAGCUGCGACUCGAAGGUCCACGCGGCGAACAAGCUUGCGUCGAGACACGCCCGCGUGUGGAUGUGCGAAGUGUGCGAGCAAGCGCCAGCUCACGUCACGUGCAAGGCAGACGCGGCUGCUCUCUGCGUCACGUGCGACCGAGACAUCCACUCCGCUAACCCUUUGGCUCGCCGUCACGAGCGCGUCCCCGUCACACCUUUCUACGAUUCCGUCUCCGGCACCGACGGCUCCGGCAAGCACACAGCCGUCAACUUCCUCAACGACUGUUACUUCACCGAUCUAGACGGAAAUGUUAGCCGUGAGGAGGAGGAGGAGGAGGAGGCGGCGUCGUGGCUGCUUCCGA